AGCGUAGGCUGUGUGGUAAGUCAGAUGUGAAAUCCCGGGGCUCAACCCCGGAACUGCAUCCGAUACUGCCGUACUAGAGGAUUGGAGAGGUAACAGGAAUUCACGGUGUAGCAGUGAAAUGCGUAGAUAUCGUGAGGAAGACCAAUGGCGAAAGCAUGUUACUGGACAACUCCUGACGCUGAGGCUCGAAGGCCAGGGUAGCGAAAG
rnacentral:rRNA from 1 species